GAUACUUUUUAUUUUGAAAAAAUUGUACAAGAACACAAGUGUUCAAGGACACCCGUAUGCACACUAUAUUCAUCAACUGGAUCUGCAUGGCUGGUGAUGAUGAGGGAUACGGAGCUGAGGAGAAGGAUCUUAAGGGAAAAUAUUGACAACAUUGGUUUUAGAUGUUUCAUAAGAGUUGACAAUCAUUGUCAUGAAGUCGGAAGAGCCAUCUGAACUGCAGAAACACGAAUCAGAGUGCUCUGUACACGGCAGGUCCUCCUCUAGAUCCUGAUCGAGGCCAAGAUCUGAAGGAAGUGUCCAUAAGGAAUGAUUAACCAUCGUUAGGUUGCUAAACCACUCCAGGACUUUUAACUAGAUGAAGAAAAGAAUAUUUGCCAGCUCUCGUCUCCGAGAACAUUCUUGCCUGUGUUUGGAAGGAAAUACUCUGAUAAACUGCAUGGAGUGUGAGGAAGAAUUGAAUAAAAGGAAGAACUUUCUUGAAUUUCCAACGGUAACUGAAUUUGGGGGCCUUGGUAGAAGGGGUGGUGGAGAAGAGCAAUGGCCCAUAGUGGUGAAGGAGGAAAUGCGAUAUGGGAAAAUACAAAGAAG
rnacentral:lncRNA from 1 species